AACACCCCCUCGGGAAGGACCUUGCGGUCCUUCGCGGUCAUGGGUCCCGGUCCGCCCUGGCGCGGCCGAGUCCUCGAAUCGGCGAGUUUGCGAGCCUGUCCCUCCGGGUCUCAAAGCGUAGUAGAAUCUUUUGCCAUCGCUUGGCCCGGGCGCGACGCGGUUCCGCCUCGAACACACUCUCACGAG
rnacentral:misc_RNA from 1 species